rnacentral:rRNA from 1 species
UCCACCCUGGUAACCAACCGUCACCCCCGCUCUGCCGCCCGGGUUCGUCCUGGGGCUCACGGCAUCGGGCGCCGGUCCCCUGGCUGGGGUCCCUCGGGACGCCAGUUAGGUCCGGCGGGCGUCUCCCCUGGCUCAUACCCAGGGGUUGGCGUCGGUAAUUUAUAUAUCUAACCUCAACACACCCCAAACCAUAAGUUGUUCUGAAGCUGAAUGUGGUGCGGCCUCGUGCCUGCCCACUCCAACCAAAGACAACUCUCAACAACGGAUAUCUUGGCUCCCGUAUCGAUGAAGAACGCAGCGAAAUGCGAUACGUAGUGUGAAUUGCAGAAUUCCGUGAACCAUCGAAUCUUUGAACGCAAAUUGCGCCCGAGGCCUCGGCCGAAGGCAUGUCUGCCUCAGCGUCGGCUUACACCCUCGCCCUCUUUACUCCUGUGAGUAUCGAUGGCGGACCUGGCCCUCCCGGCUCCGUCUCGCUUGCGAGUCGUCCGGGUUGGCUGAAGCACAGAGGCUUGAGCAUGGACCCCGUUUGCAGGGCAAUGACUUGGUAGGUAGGCACCCCCUACGCAGCCUGUCGUUGCCCGAGGGGACUUUGCUGGCGGCCCCGCAGGAAUUCGGGCUUUAGUCCGAACUUUCAUUUUCGACCUGAGNUCANGCAAG